GCGGUUGUAGUUUAAUGGCAGAAUACAAGGUUGUGGUCCUUGGGACGAGGGUUCGAUUCCCUCCUACCGCU
rnacentral:tRNA from 1 species